CCGAGUUCAUGCCCUUACGGGUAGAUCUCCCACCCUUUGUAUACUAUACCUUUGUUGCUUUGGCGGGCCGCCUAGCUACUGGCUUCGGCUGGUAUGUGCCCGCCAGAGGACCACAACUCUUUUGUUUAGUAAUGUCUGAGUACUAUAUAAUAGUUA
rnacentral:misc_RNA from 1 species